CACAUUCGAUUGAAUGCUGCAAUAUCUCUGCAUAGAGGCACGUCUAAAUGCUGCUUUUCUUUUCUUCCUUAUCACUGACGCAAUGUGUUGCUGAAUUCUGCAUCAGCAGCCACAGCAGUUGCCCCCCUAGAACAGUGAAAAGAGUCACAGGACUUUUCCCUUUGAUUACUCUAAAGUGCAAAACAUCCCAGUUUCCCCUGGUGGUAUUAUUCCUUUGUGAUGAAGUCUAGAUUGGAUUUAUGCUUUUGCUCCAAAUGGCAGAUUAAGAAAUGCAUGAAUAUUAAUUUGCAGUAUGUUUUGUAGACUAUGUUUACAGUAAUUCUGUGAUUACUCUCUGGUAAUUGUAUACUAAUAAUGCUAGUUGUUUAUAUACAACUUCAAAAAUAAAUAUGAAGCAAUUUCAUUAGCAAUGGACUCUCAAGAGAUAUUCCAUAAUGAGGAUAAAUUUCCUGUAUGUAAUAUGGAGAGGCUGCAGAUAUAUUCAGAUACAAACAGGUGUAACAUCACUAAGGCAGACAGAUGCAAUAAAAACUCACAAGCAUUUAGGCUGGAUUUGUAUCAACUACCUUUUUAGACAUUUAACUGAGGCACAUAAAUUAGACAUCUGGCCUUGUUCUACAGUCAGCAGAGAUCACUAUAAGACAAUUUAGGCUAUGAGAAAUAGUCAAUAAAAUCAGAGAACAGAGCAGAAAUUAAAUAUUCAGGGUGUAGGUCAAGGCUUUGUUUUAUCAUAGUGAUCAAUGCCUUUAAACACCAGGAAGAAUACAAAGAAUUCUCAGGGUUAGUGUAAAUGCCAACCUUUAGCAGGAAAUUAUGACAAUGGUAGCUCUGAACACAUCACAUCUUUCUGCACCAGUGUGCCAGCAAGGACCAUCUAACUCAAGUGGCAUGUAAAAUCACAGCUCGUAAACUGAGAUUCAUUAAUGAACCCAAAGAAAAGGUGGGGAUGCUAUUACAUGACCAAGUUAAUCUUGUAGUGAUACCCACACUCCUUCACCUACUUCUUUUCGACCUUUCCAUGGACACACGGCAAACUCCUUGCUUUCUGCACCAAUCUGAUUGCUACUGAGUUGUUGCUAUGUAGUGAACAAUUAAAUAGCUGUCAGGGGUGGCAAUGCAUAAUGAUGGAUUAGGCAAUUUUGACAAUUUCUUACUGAUGGCAAUUUUGGUCAGUGAAAUUUGGAAAGAACUUCAGCAUCUUUGGCUGAAAAUGCCUCUAUUAAUGCCGGUGAUUAAUUAUUAGCAAAUGUGCUGUUAUUAUUUUAAUAAGCCUCUCAGUAUGGUUAUUGAGCUGUGAAAAAAUCUCACAAAUCUCUUAAAAAGUUUGCUUCAAAAUACAGUCACUCAUUCUGUUUCCAGAAUAGCCCUUAUCCAUCCCCAAGGGGAUGUGCUGUGCCCAGAUGACAAGCCCCACAGUGUGUCCAUUUUACAAGAGCACCAUGACAUGUCACAGCACAGCAGAUACAGUCCCCCUUUCCAAGUGCAGUCUGGAGGUCUGGAUACAAACAGUUUAUCCACACAUACCGCACCUAUUGUGUGAGGAUUUUAAAAAAAAGCCCCGAGUGCUUAUCACUCUGCCAGCAAGGAAGGUCCCAUUUUCACUGCCAAAGGGAUCUUGAAGCACCCUUUGCAGCCAAAGAGCUCCAGCUGUCACAGACUGAGCACCAGAUUUGCUGUGCCUGAAUGGCUCCAUCUACCUCCUGUACACAAUAACUCUCACACACACCAGCAGGAGCCAAAAUCACACACUGCAGGAGAAGGAGCAAGGCUAGGCACUACACUCACCUCUAUCCACGACAUUUUUCCUUGAAAGAACCCAUCCCUUUCCAGCUGGUGCUGACUAUCUGCCAGCCAUUGGCAUCCCCAGCCCAGCCUCCUGCUCAUUGCAGAGGCCAUUCCUGAGUGCUCAGCCAUGUUCUGCUGAGGGGUCUGGGGGCUCAGCAUGGCCCUGGCAGGUCCAAACCUGUGCAACAGGGCUCCCCUUUGUGCACAGCCCUUGGGGUGGGCUCGGGAAUAAGCAGGAGCCUUGUCCUGGAGCAGCCCCAUUUGCUGGGGGGCUCCAGCAGGAGCAGAGUCAGGCACGAGGUACUGCUGGACUGAAAGCACUGAAUAUGCUCUGCUAUCCCUGGCUCUGCUGCCCACCAUUCCUAGAGCUGCAGCAGGGCUCAUGGAUGAUGUUCCCUCACCAAGGAAGGACAGGCUCACAGGGAAGUUAGGGUGAUAGAACAAAUAGCACCAGAAGAAUUUUUAUUUGGCUCCCUAGCAGAAUGUGGUCAACUUUCCCCCUCUGCAUUUCACCAGAGUCUACAAGUUUAAAUAGAAAUUCACCAGCAAAGGUUAUCCUUGAAAUAGUUUGGGCCAUCUUAACCCACAAUACUCUGCUGAAGUCUCCAUGAGGCGUCUUGGAAAGGCCAUCAUGUUCCCCAGGAUGUAUGCACACAGUCCUGCUGACUUUGACUCAAGUGCUAGCAGCAAGUACCUCUUUUGCACGUAACUCUGCAGACACUGUGGUGAGUGACAAAGGCUGCUUGCUAUGAGGACAUUCCUUAGAACUCACAGCCAUACCACUUUAAUCCCAGUGUCUCCCCCAAACACUUCACCAAUACUGUUACCUUCCUUAGAGAGAGAAUUACAGUCAUUUGAUUGCUCAUUCUGGCCAGUUCAUCAAUAAGGCCAUAGUAAAAAAA
ensembl:lncRNA